GCCCGGUUAGUUCAACGGCAGAACGGAUUCUUGGUAAGAAUCAGAAGAGAGUUCAAUUCUCUCACUGGGCUCCC
rnacentral:tRNA from 1 species